rnacentral:ncRNA from 1 species
CCAUAUAUCUGGCAAACCUACCGAAAGGUAGCGACGCAAAGCCAUGGGUCUAAGGGCGUAAGCCAAUGAUUGCCAGGUUGCAACU